CCUUAUCGGAAGAAGUGAUAGCCUGUCGCGGAAUUGGCCAAAGCCUAAGGUGACUUACCGGACGUCGGUACACAACGCCAUCUUCAUUUACUACGCUUUGGGCAAAUACUAAAAGCAGCCAAAUCACCCGGUAGAGAAGUUCCCCCAACGAGCGCUGCGGAUGGCCAAUGCCAUAAUUAAUAGUUUGCAAUCCGUUAACGAGAGGGGGAUCCAUUCAUCCACGCCCGGUGGGAGAUUUUUUCGAACAUUCCGGCCCGUUCCAGAUUCUUCCGGAUGCGUUGGACCGGUGAAUGAGUCCUCGUCCUUGUCAAUUUUGUUGGUGUUUCAAACGGAAUGGAACCGGCGUCAUCCAAACGGUACCCUGAAAUUUUUUUGUUUAUGAUGAAAAUUGAAAUAAC